rnacentral:rRNA from 1 species
CUCCCUGGGUGACGAGCGGCGGACGGGUGAGUAAUGUCUGGGAAACUGCCUGAUGGAGGGGGAUAACUACUGGAAACGGUAGCUAAUACCGCAUAACGUCGCAAGACCAAAGAGGGGGACCUUCGGGCCUCUUGCCAUCAGAUGUGCCCAGAUGGGAUUAGCUAGUAGGUGGGGUAAUGGCUCACCUAGGCGACGAUCCCUAGCUGGUCUGAGAGGAUGACCAGCCACACUGGAACUGAGACACGGUCCAGACUCCUACGGGAGGCAGCAGUGGGGAAUAUUGCACAAUGGGCGCAAGCCUGAUGCAGCCAUGCCGCGUGUGUGAAGAAGGCCUUCGGGUUGUAAAGCACUUUCAGCGAGGAGGAAGGUGGUGAACUUAAUACGUUCAUCAAUUGACGUU